UGUUAAAAAAUUCAUCCAUUUGUAUUGUUAAAAAUUUACGUAGUUGACGGAAUAACUAGAUAAUGAUACAUGUUAUGCCACAUGCACGUCAUGCUGAAGUAAAUGGACCAAUUUUUAACAAAAAAAAUGGAGAAUUUUUUUAACA
rfam:Gossypium hirsutum cultivar TM-1 chromosome 17, whole genome shotgun sequence